AGCUUCACACAGUGGCAGUAUCAUAGCCAGUGAGGUCUACCUAGGCACAAUUACUGCUAAUUGAAAACUUUUCCCAAUACCCCACUAUGACAACUUGCAAUAUAGUCAGCACUGACAAUUUUUAACGGUCUCUAUGGAGA